rnacentral:precursor_RNA from 1 species
AUAGAUACAAGGUAGUAUUAGGAGAUGAGAGAGAUAGAGAUAGAUAGUAUUAUUUAUUCCAUAUGGGUAGUCCAUAUGCUUAUGGAUACCUUUUGUUAUUUUCUCCAUAUGGACUAGUUGCACAAUGGUAAUAGGUAGCUGAAUGGAAUAUAAUAUUGCCUAUGGACUACUUUUGCUUGAUGCCCUAACCUGAAACGGAGGAAGUAGAUGAUAUCCCACGCGUUAGAGUGAAAACUUUUGAAACCAUGUCCACCCGUAACACACGUUAUAUAAAAUUAUGCUUCUAGAUCCAAUAUCAAUAAUAUAUACUCCCAUAACAAACAUAUUCCAAAAGUUUUCACUAUAACGCGUGGGAAAACAAGUUUGCCCAAAACACGUUAAUUGAAUAUAUGCCAUUAAAAA